rnacentral:rRNA from 1 species
GGCCGCGAAUUCGCCCUUAGAGUUUGAUCAUGGCUCAGAUUGAACGCUGGCGGCAGGCCUAACACAUGCAAGUCGAGCGGUAACAGGAGAAAGCUUGCUUUCUUGCUGACGAGCGGCGGACGGGUGAGUAAUGUAUGGGGAUCUGCCCGAUAGAGGGGGAUAACUACUGGAAACGGUGGCUAAUACCGCAUAAUGUCUACGGACCAAAGCAGGGGCUCUUCGGACCUUGCACUAUCGGAUGAACCCAUAUGGGAUUAGCUAGUAGGUGGGGUAAAGGCUCACCUAGGCGACGAUCUCUAGCUGGUCUGAGAGGAUGAUCAGCCACACUGGGACUGGGACACGGCCCAGACUCCUACGGGAGGCAGCAGUGGGGAAUAUUGCACAAUGGGCGCAAGCCUGAUGCAGCCAUGCCGCGUGUAUGAAGAAGGCCUUAGGGUUGUAAAGUACUUUCAG